UUCAUUUCUAUACAUAUCCCUUGGUGUCAGUUCUUCAGAAACCUUUUGUCCAACAAUAUGUCGGAAUACACCACUAUAACGUUGGUGCAAGUGGACAUAGAGAAACUUUGACUCUUUAGAAUUAUACCAGUAUUCAAUCGUUCCCAUUUGACAUGAAACAGAAUUAUAAUAUUUUUUUAAUAAACUUAAUAUAAGAUCAAAAGCCUUAUUUUUUCUGCUUCACUCAUCUUCUUGUUUCUCUUUCUAAGGCAUUGUUGGUGUU